rnacentral:rRNA from 1 species
GACAGAGGAUGCAAGCGUUAUCCGGAAUGAUUGGGCGUAAAGCGUCUGUAGGUGGCUUUUAAGUCUGCCGUCAAAUCCCAGGGCUUAACCCUGGACAGGCGGUGGAAACUACCAAGCUGGAGUACGGUAGGGGCAGAGGGAAUUUCCGGUGGAGCGGUGAAAUGCGUAGAGAUCGGAAAGAACACCAACGGCGAAGGCACUCUGCUGGGCCGACACUGACACUGAGAGACGAAAGCUAGGGGGAGCAAAAUGGG